rnacentral:lncRNA from 1 species
CUGAUUCUUGUUCAUUCCUGCAGGUAAUCUCUGUGGAUUCUCAGCUCCCAGAUCAGUGCUAAAUUCUGGGAAUACCAUGCAGGUAUUCAAAUUUUCAAAGUGGUGGGGAGAACAGCUUCAGAGAGUUUAGAGCCUGGCUCACUUUGGUUCAUUUGUUAGUAGAGAGCUGCUUGGUGUGUCUGACAAUUUCCACAUCAUCUGCAGCUAUUCUUCGAUACCUGAGCUUAUUUUCUUGGCUGAUCUUGCUGCCUUAUGUCAAGAGGAGAGCCUUGAUCCUGGGGACCAGUUUGCUAUUGUUGCUUCCUACUUUCAUGAGUGUGUGCCAGCUGCUGCUUGAGGAGAUGAGUAACUUUCGCCUUCCAGAGUGGGGACUUUGUUUGUGGGGACAAGCCAGAGCUAUUGACCCAAGUAAGAGCUAACUUAUUUCUUUCCUCUUACAGAGGAGGCAAGAAGAGAAGGUUCAGGAUUAACUGCACCAGUGUUGCAUCUGCAGGGUGUCCCCUUAUGUAAAGAAAUUAAGUUUGGCUCAGUUGUUUUGGUCUGAGGCUCUUUGCUGUAACUUUUAAGAGGAUUAUGCAGGUG